rnacentral:lncRNA from 1 species
AUGUUCAACUCGCCUUCAAAAUCUCACAACCGUAGUGUACUUCAAAUGACAUGGGGAAGAAGCGUUGGAGAAGAAUAUCACAGUCUAAAAUAUAUACUGAUUUUUAUUUUGGGGAUUUCUAUGGAAGGACAGCACAGAUGGUUUAAAAAACUGCUCCAGAUGAAAGCCUCAUAUUCUGAUUGUAAGAAGAGAAAAGAAACAACACCAGUAACAACAACUUGGUCUCCUGUUGAGACUGCAGCCAGUUUAAACCACAGGAAGUAACUCAAGAGAAAGAUGGACCAAAAUAGAGUUUUCAUCUCAGGUGAUACAAUGAUUUUGGAAUUGGGAUUGUAGUACAGUGGAAAGUUUCUGUAUUGGGGAGAACUACAUUCUGUAAUCCCGGCCGGCAAUUUGAAGCCACCCAGUCCAAACACAGUUUUACAAGUAACCUACCAUUUGCAUAAAUUGCAUGUAAGUCGGACUAUUCAUAUAUUAUGAAGUUUUUUUACCUCCUCUGAUUAAUAGCUGGAGAGACUAUUAAGACAUUUUGUUGCCUCAGGCAAAGGGUAAGAUGUUGCUGCCACCGUGCUCAUUAUUCCACGCCCAGAAGCCAAUCAAAUUGGUAUACAAUCCUUCCUGGAGUUCUGGCAAUGGAGCAACAUUUUCCAACAUGCCUGACAGCAGUUUAGAGAACAGAGGUGUUGCUAAAACCAUGGGUUCAGAAGCCCAACAUGUCCAGCUUGUCCAGAAGGCCAAAUAAGGCAUGGAUGGGGUAGAAAGCAAAAGCAAAGGUUUAUUCUCACUAAAGGAUAUCAGAGCAGAAAGCACUCCAAAGUACUGACAUAAAAAUUGAAAAUGCAGAGCAUUUUUAUUUUAUCUGACAGUUAUUCAAGAAACCCAUGCCAGCUUCUGACUGGCUGAAAACUAUUCAGCUACAAUUCAUGCCUUGGUUGGCUCUGGGCUCCAUCAGAAGUUUUUACUGAUUCGCUCUUUGUAUGGUGGGAAAUUUAAUAAACUGUCAUUGGAUUAUUUGAAGUGUCAGUCCAUUUAAUGGGCAUGAUCCCAAAGGAAUGUGAUAUAGUAAUAUGUAAUGACUGUUUGAUGGGUUUUAAGGAUUAGCUCUGGAUUAGCAGCAGGAUUAAUACACAAUGGAUAUAUGGGGAUGAUGCCCACCCUAAUAGAUGAAGCUAGUUUGGGUCAUGGGUGCCAGAUCUUUCCCAUAGAUAGCCCCGAUCUUAUCAAUGGGAACAGGACAUGGACCCAGAGAGCUCUGACAUACACCCAUUGCGUAAUUUCCCCUCGUCUUAUGGAAAUUUAGACAAGGGUCUUGGGUGCAACCAGACAACAUUCCAGAGACAAUUUAUACACAAGGUUUAUACAAGAUAAAAGGCUCAGGCUCUCUAAAUUUUGUGGUUUCUAUUUUAUAUAAUGUUAUAUAUUGCAUAAUUUGGGGAUUUGAUUUCCCAAUAUCAAAGGAAAAUAUAUUGUGUCAGCAUGUGGGGAAUGGUGCCUACAACAAACAGAAGUUGGUUGUCUGCUAGAACUGAAAGUCAGUCCUCCACAUUCCCUGGGGCAAAUGUGCAGGAUAUCUGUGAAAGUGAAGCAUCUAAAUCCUCCAGUUCAGAAUGCCUGGAGAAGUGUUCUCCCUAGGAAUCUCUAGGUCCUCCUGCAGACCUUCUGGUUGACCAUAGAGUUGCCCUGGAGGAUCUAGUAAUUCCUAGAGAUAGCAUAUUUAUCAAAUUUGCAAAUAAUCAAAUAUGCAAAUAUCAGAUCCACAAAUGUGGAGGGCCAAGUGUACCCUUCAGGGUGAUGAGGGCAUAUUGGACAGAUCAGAGCUGGUUCUCUGGGAAGAACAACUUCCAGGGUUUGCUUCUGGAGAAGAGAAUGUCUUCCAAUCACAGGAGGAAGGCAUAUGGGAGGAUGUGACAUACACAGAGAAACAGAACAAUCAGGAAACUCCAAACCCUUCCCUUGAUCAGAGAUAAUUAGAAAUAGAAGGAAUAUUUGCAAUCAUUC